CUGUCAUUGAGAGGCAUUUAGGUUUAUUCCAUGUCUUUGCUAUUGUGAAUAGCGCUGCAAUGAACAUUUACAUGCAUGUGUCAUUAUGAUAGAAUGAUUUAUAUUCCUUUGGGAACAUACCAAAUAA